AGAGAGAGAGAGAGAGAGAUCUUAGGGUUUUCGGGUAUCUUUCGAGGUUUUACAGAGACUUCUAUCUAACAUGGAUUCAAUGGUAAAUCAAACAACUGUUUUGGCUGUGACAGAUGAUGUGGUCUUGCCUGUUAGCUCUGUUCUAACUAUAAUGAAAGAACUUGGAAAGGAAGGGAUUGAAUGUUGUGAUCCUUUGGUUAUUACGCAAGCUUCCUCAAUAAGUCAGGUUCCUUUGGAUUCUUCUUCAGUGGAUGCUGUUCUAGCUAUUUCCAGAACACUUGAGUUCCCAAGUGAUAAAAUAUAUGGCGAGUUCUCAAGAGUUUUGAAGCCUGGUGGUUCGAUUUUUGUGUGCACCAAUUCGGAGGUGGUUUUUUGUAGAGUUGCAACAGGUUUGUGAUGUGUAUUUGGUCUGUACUUUCUUAAUAGUAUGACAUCUUCCUUGCAGACCGUUCAAAGGAGCAUGACGUUGGCUGGUUUCAUGGAGCCACAAUCUCUUGAUUUGACAUCCCUCAAGCUGCCUAACUUCAGCUUAUCC